rnacentral:rRNA from 1 species
CAUGUAGGCGGUUUUUUAAGUCUGGAGUGAAAAUGCGGGGCUCAACCCCGUAUGGCUCUGGAUACUGGAAGACUUGAGUGCAGGAGAGGAAAGGGGAAUUCCCAGUGUAGCGGUGAAAUACGUAGAUAUUGGGAGGAACACCAGUGGCGAAGGCGCCUUUCUGGACUGUGUCUGACGCUGAGAUGCGAAAGCCAGGGUAGCGAACG